GCCUCACGCACUAAAUUCUCUAUCUGAGUAAGCAUCGGAGGGGCGACGAUCACACACGUCGUUGCCUUUGUUGCAGGUAUUCAAAGACCGUUCAUGUUCAUCAAAGUUCGAAGUUCGAUCAUCAAGUUCGAGAUCUUUCAGGUAAUAUUUUUUGGUAGCAUCACUUAUAUUUAAAAUAUGUUGGAGUUUAAUUUUGUAAUUAGUUUGUGCAGAAUCUAAAAUUUGUGAAUUGUUUUGUUUUGUGAGGUGAUUUCAAGGUGCGUCUUUAAGCAUGUGGAGUCUUUCUAUUUCUCGUCUAGGAUUUUGGGAGUGUGAGGAGCUCAUGGUAUUCUUAACUUCAUUUAUCGCUGCUCAAAUUAUGUAAAAAUAUUCAAUUUACCUGUACAAUGUUCAAAAGUUAAGGGACGUUUUCAUUUUUGGUUUUCCC
rnacentral:lncRNA from 1 species